rnacentral:piRNA from 1 species
UAGAUAGGCAGAAAUUUGAUG